rnacentral:rRNA from 1 species
UCAGGACGAACGCUGGCGGCGUGCUUCAUACAUGCAAAGUCGAACGAUAAGGCGUCUUCGGACGUACAUAAGUGGCGGACGGGUGAGUAAAAUGUAGAGAAUCUGCCCCAGAGCGGGGGACAACAGCUGGAAACGGUUGCUAAUACCCCAUAUGAGCGUAGUUGAAAUGCUAUUCUUGAAAACUCCGGUGCUCUGGGAUGAGUCUGCAUCUGAUUAGCUAGUUGGGGGUGUAAUGGACCACCAAGGCGACGAUCAGUAGCUGGUUUGAGAGGAUGAUCAGCCACAAUGGGACUGAGACACGGCCCAUACUCCUACGGGAGGCAGCAGUAGGGAAUUUUGCGCAAUGGGGGAAACCCUGACGCCAGCAACGCCGCGUGAUUGAAGGAAGCCCUUCGGGGUGUAAAGAUCUGUCAGUGGGGACGAAAGAUGACGGUACCCACAGAGGAAGCAUCGGCUAACUCCGUGCCAGCCGCGGC